rnacentral:rRNA from 1 species
AUCAACUUUCGAUGGUAGGAUAGAGGCCUACCAUGGUGGUAACGGGUAACGGGGUGUUAGGGCACGACACCGGAGAGGGAGCCUGAGAAACGGCUACCACAUCCAAGGAUGGCAGCAGGCGCGCAAAUUACCCAAUCCCGACACGGGGAGGUAGUGACAAUAAAUAACAAUACGGGGUUCUUUAGGAUUUCGUAAUUGGAAUGAGUACAAUUUAAAUCUCUUAACGAGGAACAAUUGGAGGGCAAGUCUGGUGCCAGCAGCCGCGGUAAUUCCAGCUCCAAUAGCGUAUAUUAAAGUUGUUGCAGUUAAAAAGCUCGUAGUUGAAUUUCGGGGUCAGUAGGUUGGUCAUGCCACUGGUAUGUACUGGUCUCACUGAUUCCUCCUUCCUGAUGAGCCGUAAUGCCAUUAAUUUGGUGUUGCGAGGAAUCUGGACUGUUACUUUGAAAAAAUUAGAGUGUUUAAAGCAGGCUAACGCUUGAAUACAUUAGCAUGGAAUAAUGAAAUAGGACGUUCGAUCUUAUUUUGUUGGUUUCUAAGAUUGACGUAAUGAUUAAUAGGGAUAGUUGGGGGCAUUAGUAUUCAAUUGUCAGAGGUGAAAUUCUUGGAUUUAUUGAGGACUAACUACUGCGAAAGCAUUUGCCAAGGAUGUUUUCAUUAAUCAAGAACGAAAGUUAGGGGAUCGAAGACGAUCAGAUACCGUCGUAGUCUUAACCAUAAACUAUGCCGACUAGGGAUCGGAUGAUGUUAAUUUUUUAAUGACUCAUUCGGCGCCUUACGGGAAACCAAAGUGUUUGGGUUC